ensembl:lncRNA
AAGAAGAAGAAGAAGAAGAAGAAGAAGAAGAAGAAGAAGAAGGAAAAAGGCCUUGAGUAAAAGGUGGCGUGGAAGGCUUCCAAAAAGCCCCCGCAUGCACUUCUAUGGAAAAGAGGCCGCUUAUAAAGAGCCCUUUUCCUGAAACAUAAAACAUACCGAUGUUGAGGCAAGAUUCCCGAGGAGGAUUGCCAGGUUUCACUCACACAGCCGUGCUGUCCCUCCCAGAAGAGAGAAAAAAAACGCUGUGCUGGGUGGCCCACCCAGACGAAGAGCAGCAUAAAGUUAGAUCUGAACUCCUGGAAGAAGUGUGUCAGCACUCUCUCUAGCUCGCUUGCACGCUCUCUCUCUCUCUCUCUCGCUCGCUUGCACAGUCUCUCUCACGCUAUCUCCCUCUCCCCUCUCUCUCUCUCUCUCUCUCUCUCUCUCCUCUCUUUCUCUCACAUGCUCUUUCGCUCUCUCCAUCUCUCUCUCUCACAUGCUCUUUCGCUCUCUCCCUCUCUUCCUCUCCCACUCUCUCUCUCUUUCUCCCACCUCUAACUACAAACACACCUCAGAUGCUGUGGAGCCUGAAGGAGUGGAUGGGUGGGUGAGGAAAAAGAGAGGACACUGGUGCCUCCCUCGCCCGGUAUGGCCUGGCCCUCUCCCCGAGCUCUGCUUCAGAAUACAUCAAGUUGGACUCAAAAGAGGGGCUUUCUAUGCUAAGAAAAAACCACGAGAACAGCUGCCAAUGAAACCAUUUUCCUUGCUGGAUCACCCUCAGCCACCUGGCCUGAUCACCGCUUUACCC